rnacentral:rRNA from 1 species
AGCGAACGCUGGCGGCAGGCCUAACACAUGCAAGUCGAACGAACUCUUCGGAGUUAGUGGCGGACGGGUGAGUAACACGUGGGAGCGUGCCUUUAGGUUCGGAAUAACUCAGGGAAACUUGUGCUAAUACCGAAUGUGCCCUUCGGGGGAAAGAUUUAUCGCCUUUAGAGCGGCCCGCGUCUGAUUAGCUAGUUGGUGGGGUAAUGGCCCACCAAGGCUACGAUCAGUAGCUGGUCUGAGAGGAUGAUCAGCCACACUGGGACUGAGACACGGCCCAGACUCCUACGGGAGGCAGCAGUGGGGAAUAUUGGACAAUGGGCGAAAGCCUGACGCAGCCAUGCCGCGUGUAUGAUGAAGGUCUUAGGAUUGUAAAAUACUUUCACCGGUGAAGAUAAUGACUGUAGCCGGAGAAGAAGCCCCGGCUAACUUCGUGCCAGCAGCCGCCGUAAUAC